UAAAACGUCAAACCAGUACAAAUUGACUGCCGGAUCUUUCCCGGUCUGGAAAAGUUCCAGCGUUAGGUCGGGUAGCAAGUUUGUGUGGGCGCUGAAAAGUUAGCAAAGCCUUCACCGCUAUUCACGUGCCCAAAAUAGCCCGGAGAGUUCAACGCUCCGAACUCCACCUGUGAUGAGCAGCAGCACAGCCUCCAGGUGUACACGACUCCAUUUGCUACGGCUAUUUGGGCGCUCAAUUUGGCGACUCUCCAGGAUGGGGGCCCGUCUCGAGGAUGAUAGCUCUAUUUCGGAAUGGUUAGCGCGUGUCUCUGCCUUGAAUACCCGUAUCCGAUUCGAGAACAGCCGCGCGCACUGCUGCUCCGGGGGCCAUAAAAGAACGGAAUGUUGCCCAACAAAGGCCCUGGCAUCCUGGAUGGAUGGUUUGGUUAGUUGGUCCGAUCAAAAGGUUGGCCGUUUUUUAUUGGCCCGUGUAGAACGGUUCUUGAUACAGAAGCAAUUCGGGCAACAAUAACGGGAGUUUGGCGAAAUUACAAUGAUUUGCAUGAUUGGGCAGAUUUGGAACGAGUGUGAUCAUAAAGUUGAUUAGGUUUGUUUAUAUUUGUUUGGGAUACAGAUUCCUGUAUUUGAAUUGCUGAUUGAUGGUUCUUUGGGGGAUAAUGAUCGACCUUAUCCCGGCGCAGCAAUCUCUUCAUUUCCCGUAGUAAUAAAUCGUUCUCGGUUGACCCCGAUAUCGAGGGGUUGUAAAGAUUGCAACCUUAGAUCGCCGAACGUCUGUCGGCAGCAUGUUCUAGACAUUAAACUACCCCCGAAAACGCGGAAGGUCCAUCAGCGGCUGUCAUCUUCUUCUCACGGCGCACUCUUAAUUUGAUUACCGGCGAUUUAGCAAAACGCUUCCAUCUUUGUGAGCCAUCUCGAACGUGCGCCAUCUCUAGGAGAAUCUUCUCAUUUCAUCCCCCGCGUACUCCUCAUGUCUCUGUUUGCUUUGGCAGCUCGUACAUGGAACCGUAAAAGGCACCAUUUUUACUGCCACUUCAUUAUUUUGCCGUUUAUCUGGCCACUUUGCAAUUUCUGUAUCGGCCCCAUGGAGGCCACUGACUUCACAGAUACACGUAUUCAAUCGCGAGCACUCACACAUGCUCGAUCGUCACGUGAACCCCUCUCGAACACUUCGGAAACAAUAGACGUCAUCUUGUUGAAGAAAUUUCCAAAGUCGUUUUUUUUGCGUUAUUAGCGAACAAUGAGAAUACUUCAACUCAACUCGUUUUUUUUUUCGUUCGCCACUUGUUCACCACAAUGAUGGGAGAAAGAAGUCGGAAAGGGUCCACUUCAUCUCGUGCCAAAAUGAUGCUACUUGAGAAAUAGAAAUAUUUCUCCAGCACGGAAAGCUUCAACAUUCGCAUUUAGUGGAGUGGCACUCCCCUCGUCAAACGUCACUUUGCGAGCAGUGCUGCCAAAAGAACUGAUUUAAGAAUUUGAAAUUCUAUGAUCGUGUAGUGACGCACCCCUCGGUCAACGUCAUUUGACAGGUGUCAGUGUUGCCAAAAAUCCUCAAAACUUGCGACUUUUGGUGCAUUGCACCUCCGAAGAAGCGAUUUUUGCGUAAUUCUGCGCUCCAAAACCUUCAACCGUUCAGCUGCCACUCAACGUCAACGCAGUCAAGAGGUUGAAACAGCUACGGCAGCAGCAGCAGCAGGUAAGUGCGGCCGCUGGAUCGGGGAAUCUCUUUCUACUGUUUCAAAACCCCGAACCCGGGAAGUUCGUAAGUGUGUUGAACAGCUGGGUGAUGACAUUUGUACGAGCUUGUGUCUCUCUCUCCAGAUCACAUCGUCGAAUUUCAAUGGAACUCGUCGAAAAGCACCUUUCCCAAGCCACACAGAGUCGCAGUGUGGUGAUUUAUUUGAACAAUUGUAAGGAAUCUUCCCCGGUCAGACACAAAACAAACAACACACGAGAAAGGCCCCUUUUUAGUGAGAAUUAUGUUUGCAUUCAGCCGAGAGGUGAGAACCCUGGGGGUAUCAAUGGCCCACGCGGUGAUACCUGUCUGUGUGGACAAAGAAUAGAGUGACAAAUGAGCGGGACAAAAUGGGAAAUGAUUGAAUUAUAACGAGGAGCGAAAUGUAAACAGAUCUUUUGUAGUCUAGACAUCAGAAUUUGUUCGGGUGAAGAGAAAUUAUCAUGAGAGUAACAUUUAUUUUAAUUUUUCAAUCAGUUUGAAAGUUUGAGAAUCACAACACUGGCUAGCUCUGCAUAUAUUAAGAUGAUGAGCAACUUCCAAUAGAAGAGAACCACAACACUGAUUUUCCCUCCAAAGAGUAAGAUUAAGCUUGAUCUCAAUAACAGAGAAAUCGAGCGCUCGUAAGAGAGUGAAUACUCUUGUGCUCGUGGAAGUUUGAUAACCAAAACGAUGGUUUGCUCUCCGAAAAGUUAAAUUUUAAGCUCUUUUCACGAUCACGCUGUUGCUCUCGUUCGUAAAGAGUAGUGAUGAGCGUGAGCUCUCAAACGUUCAAAAAUGCUCGCGAGCGCAAGCAAGCUCACGAACAUCACAACACUGCAAACUUUUUGUUGUUUUUUUACUUGCCAGAGAUUUCUAACGAGUUUGUGAACCCUGCCCGUCCACAAAUCAGCAAUUCUAGCGCUCGAUUACAAAGUCGCAGUUUUGAAAUAAGUGCAAACAUUCCGGGCUCUUCAUUGUAGAACCCGGAGCUCCCUUUGUGCGAGGUCCUUUAAGAAAACCGUAUCAUCAGCAUUUUCUACGCAUGGACUGCUCCAAGCAAUGCCAAGUCAUGCCAUCCUGGGCAUCUUUUUGUCCGCGAUGGUCCGCAGGCGACCAUAACAGAGUGUGAAACUCCUACAAUGUUGGAGCCCCUGAAUGUCGAGCGCGCGCUCCCCGCCCCAUUAGGCCAUCGUCGGACGCUAGCCGCGCAAUGAUAUCAUUAUUAUAAAUAUUUACGUAAAUAAUCGCGAGAUAAAAGGAAUUUAUUCGCAACUUUGCCGGACGUCGUCCUCCGGGAGCCCGCGAGCUACACACAAUGGGCGCGCUUGUUUUAAACGGAGCUCGGUAGAAUCGGGGCUGAACCGCGGAAGGAAUGCCGACCGUGGUUUCGAGGUUUAAUUUAAUUUAAACCGCACCACCAUUACGGACACGGCCGCCCCUUAAUGUGAUAAGAGACCCGGGAGGUUGGCUUUCAAUUACGCGAGCGCGAACGAUUCUCGCGGGCAACUAUUUUGAUGAGCUCACCUCGGUUAUGAACUUUAAGGAUCUCGCGAGUACACGCGAUUGUGAAAUUCCCAGCUAAUGCACGGCUUCAAGUGAUGCUCGACACCCCGCCUCCUUAGCAUAGAGACUAAUGAUGCGUUCAAUUUCCACUUGUGGUAGCGCCCAAGUUUAAGGUCAAACUACUUAUCCAUUAAUUUCAAUCAGCUUUUGCGGGCGGCGCGGGUAAGUGAUCUUCAAGCGCCGCCGCCGACGCCGAAAGAUCAACAAGAUCGACUAAAAACUACCAAUAUUGUUAAAAUAAACAUCGACUUGAGAUGCUGUCGAUUGAUAGGUUGCCCGAAGAUGCAAAAAAUCAAU